rnacentral:lncRNA from 1 species
GAUCUGCUGCCACUAGUGCCUUCCGGCCACCUGAGCCAAGAAAAGUCCAAGAGGUGGUGCCACUAAACAUAAAUAAUGUGGCUUCCUGUGAUGCUUCGACAACUGCUGGCAAGCAAACAAAGACAUUCUUGGACUUCGACCUAAAUGUACCGGAUGAAAGAGUUCUUGAAGAUCUGCCUUCCCAAAGAUUUGCCAAUCCCACAAAUUCCUCUGGUGGGCUGGAUCUUGAUCUAAACAGACUUGAUGAUCCAGCUGAUAUGAAUAAUCAUACAAUAAGCAGUGUUCAUCGAGUGAAUUCAACUUUUCAACAGGCAAACUUAUCUUCUGGUGGUAGUAGGGAUUUUGAUUUAAACGAUGGACCUGCUGUCGAUGAUGUUAACGCUGAGUCAUCUCUGGGUUUUAGUCAAAAUUCCCGAAGUGCACAGCCAGUGAUCAGUGGAAUAAGGCCUGGCUUCUCAUCUUGGUUUCCUGCUGUUAACAAUUAUUCAGCAAUGAGUAUUCCUCAAGUCUUGCCUGAACGAGGCAAUGGACUGCAGAGAAUGGUUGGUCCAACAUCUGAAGUUUCAUCAUAUACACCUGAUAUGUACAGAGGCCCUGUUUUACUGUCUUCUCCAGCAGUUUCAUUCCCACCAUCAGCAUUUCAGUAUCCUGGGUUUCCUUUUGGUUCCAGCUUUCCUCUUUCCUCAGCAAAUUUUUCAGGUGCUUCAACACCAUACAUGGACUCUUCAUCAAGUGGCAGGCUAUGCUUCCCUCCUGUCAACUCUCAAAUAUUGGGUCCAGGAGUAGCCAUCCCUUCUAACUACCCAAGGCCUUAUGUCGUUAAUCUCCCAAACAGCAAUGGUGGAGUUUCGGACAGCAACAAUGCAAAAUGGUUGAGAUCUGGUCUUGACUUGAACUCUGGACCAGGAGGGCAUGAAACUGAUGGCAGAGAUGAAGCAGCACUUGUACAAAGACAGCUAUCUUCCUCUGGUUCUUUACCCUUGAAAGAUGAAGCAAGAAUGUAUCAAAUGUUUGGUGGUACUCUCAAGAGGAAGGAACCAGACAGUGGUGGAUGGGAUGGAUACACGCAACCCUCUUGGCAAUAACAAACCUCAGAAUCUCUUUGUAGGCCGUUGCACUAAGCAUGUAAGCAUAUUUUUACUCUCUUCUUUCAGCUCUACCAUCUUCUGUUUCUUUAUAUUAUCUCUCGCUGACUGUGUUUCUAAUUCAAUCUUUGUUGGCUCUUAGGUACUCUUGAAGAUAAAAGCAGACGCUAACUUAGUUCCUUAUCUCUUUUAGAGAUGCAAGCGAGUGUUUAGUUUAUGUUUUUUUUUUCUCUUUUUUUUGGAGCUCUGCUGUAAAAGAAAAAAUGAUGGUCAUUGUUGGUAUGAGACUGGUAAAAUCUGACAUGGUUUGUGUAUUAUAUAGUCAGCAGCAACUCUUUUGUAGAUUUUUUUUACUUGUGGUUAGUUAUGUUUGAAUCCACAUUUCAGAACUUUGUCUCUGUUAUAACAAAAUGGCUCAUAUAUUGCAAAUUUGCAAUAACAGGUAGUAACUGAUUGUACCAUCUGCUAACUCAACCCACAUGUGUACAUAGUUCCUCCAAAAAUCUCUCUCUCCCCUGCGGUUUUCCCUUGGUGGUUGAAAGCUUGGGAUUCAAGAGAGGUUUUGCAGAGGAAGAAAAUGGUUAUUGUGCUGCAGAAGCCAUGUAACAACCAAAGGGGAGAUUUUGUACCACUUCCUGGUACAAUAUAGGGAACAGUUACAGCAAACGAAGCAAGGCUUUGGGUUAAGAAACUCCACUAUACAGCAAACUACGCAGCUCUUUUUGAUUUGAAUGAUUCAUUAUACCUUGAUACAAAACCGUGCAAAUGGUUGUCCUAAGAUUCUUUAAAGAACCUGCAUUGCUUCCACUCCACUGAUCCCAACUCCUAUAUCUGCUUCUUGAAGCAUUCCUAACAUCUUUUGCACCAUCUCCAAUUGCCAAUUUUGACUAGUCUUGUCACCUAUGCAAAUAUGGAACCUUCAGUUAGCUUAACCUUACUGUCUCAAAAUCUUUGAGAUGUUCUACAUAUUUUGUGCCUUGUGAAGAACAUGUUUUGGAGCUAUCGGUGAGUGAAGAAGACAUGUCACUGGAAGCUACUCAAAUAGCUUCUUAGUCUCAUUGUAAAAAAAGUUAAUGUCUGUGUCAAAGAGAGACAAUGAUUGGUCACUUGUACUUUGAUGACAGUGAUUUGACACUGGACAAUGUAACCACAAGAUCCUCCCAUAAAAAUCAUAAGCAAAUAACUUGUUGUGGAGGGUAGGUCACCACAUUCAAACCGAAAUCAGCCAGAAUAAACCGGAUCAAAUCACAAAAAUUAUUAUAUAAACUGAUCGGUUUUGUAAACUUGUAGAAACAACUUGUUCAUGAUUAAAAUUUUAAUUUGCUUGUUAUAUAGAUAAUCUCUCUUCUAGUUUUUUUCCACUUAAAACAGAAUUUCUCAAAUACAUAAAGAUUUUACUCCAUUUUUUUUACGACACCCAUUUUAUAAGAUCAAGUGUUAGUAGGAGCUGAGACGUUCCGAAGAAACGCUUCCUCCGACUGUAUCUGAUUUACAUGGAAAAAAAACUCCACUAUUUCUUGCCUUUUUGGUAAGAAAAUUUACACAGAUAUUUCUGAAUCUAAGGAUAUGGGAGAUGCAAAUUUUACUCUAAUAUAUUAUAUAUUUUUUUUUCUAUUUUUAUAUGAAUGUUAUAUUUUCUUCUAUAAAUAUUAGAUAAUACUUCUUCUGUUUCUUGAGAAGUGUGUCUUAGAGUUUUUUUUUGUUUCAAAAAGUGUGUUUUAUUGUGUUUUCAAUACAAAAUUUUAAAUAAAUGUUCAUUUUUAAUCUUAAUGUAAUAGUGUAUUAAAUAAAAAAAGAAUUUAGUGUGUCAACGGAAAAAAUAGAGUUUCUAAUUAAUUUUUUAAUACACGUGAAUUUUUUUCAGAAGACAUUUUUUAUGAAACAAAACGAGAGUGAAACUCACAUUUUACUUUUCGAGUUUAUUGAUUGAAAAUGAUCCUAAAUUUCGUUUGAUUUUAUAAAUGAUCAGACUUUUUUUUGUGUUUAACCCAAAUAAUUUUUUUUUUUAAAUCACGAAGUUCGUUUUGUUUUAAAUUUAGGAAAAAAUUAGAAAAUCAAAAAAGCUAUUAAAAGGGGGGGUGGGGGGGGAGAAAAGAAAACACACUCAAAUGUCACCAGAAAACCAAAAAACAAAAUAAAUAAAAACGCUGCCCGAAACACAUGCCCGAACUGCCCCGACUCGUAGUACCCCCCUUUUGCCUUCAUCUCUUCUCUUUCUCUCGAUUUUAUUUUUUCUUCUUCUUCUUCUUCGCUGGAUCGAAAAACAAACAAGGGCGUGCUUUCGAUUCGUGUUCAAUCUCUCUCGCACUCUACGGGGGUUUCUGCUUCUUCUCGCUGUUGGAUCUUCGCGGGUUGAUUGGAUCAGGUACUCGAUUUCAAAAAUCAAUCCCUAAGGAAUCGCAUCUUCUUCUUUUAAUCUCAAUUAGGGUUUUUUUUUUUCAAUUGUAAUCGAAAACCAAUUCUGAAAAGGAAGACGAAAUUGUGUUUGUUUUGAUUCGAAAGGGGAAAAAAUGAGAGACGGCUAUGCAUGGGAGGGAGAAAGGUCAUCGUCGUCUGCUUAUGUUUAGACCUCCUUCGCGUCUAAUCUCAACCGCUUCUUCUUCUUCGUCUCUCUCUCUUUCUUCACCUUCUUCGUUCUCUAAGGUAACUUGAUUCGUGUCAACUGGCUUUGAUUGGUUCCGAUUUGAUUUAAAGUUUUGAUCUUUUUUUUCGCAGGACGGGAGGAGGAUUAGUGUUGGUGACUGUGCUCUGUUCAAGCCGCCUCAGGAUUGUCCACCGUUCGUUGGUUUGAUCCGUUUGCUGGUUCCGGAACGAGAAGGAGGCAGCUUUAAGGUUCGUGUGAAUUGGCUGUAUCGACCCGGUGAGUUGAAGCUUGGCAAGGGCGUCCUUUUGGAGGCUCAGCCUAACGAAGUCUUCUACUCCUUUCACGAGGAUGAGAUACCUGCUGCGUCUUUGCUUCAUCCGUGUAAAGUUACCUUUCUUCCCAAAGGCGUUGAACUCCCAUCUGGAAUCUCUUCGUUUGUUUGCUGGAGGGUUUAUGAUGUUAUGAACGAGUCUAUUUGGUGGCUCACUGAUCAAGAUUAUAUCGAUGUGAGUGAGUGAGAUCAUAAUUCAUUAUUAUCCAAUUCUGUUUCUUCUCUGGUUUUGACAAGUCUUUUUUUUUUAUGCAGGAACGUCAACAAGAAGUAGAUAACUUAUUGUGUAAGAGUUUACAGCAGUGUGGUUGUUCUCCUAGGUUAACAACAUCUCAAGUGAAAACAGGAACAGAAGGUAUGCAGAACAGUAGCUCCUCUUCUUCACAGGGCAAGGGAAGGAAGAGAGAGCGUGGUGAUCAGGGUUCUGAAUCUGUGAAAAGGGAACGUCCGAGCCGGGUUGAUGAUAGCGGUUCUGGUUUUGUAAGAAAAGAAAGCAGUUUGAAGUCUGAGAUUGCAAAAAUUACUGAGAGAGGCAGGCUAGUGGAUUCUGAAGGGGUUGAGAAAUUGGUACAGCUCAUGCUACCUGAGAAGAAUGAGAAGAAGACAGAUUUGAUUGGGCGGUCCAUUCUUGCAAGUGCUGUAGCUGCAACAGACAAGUUUGACUGUCUCAGUCGUUUCGUCCAGCUGAGGGGUUUAUCUGUUUUUGAUGAGUGGCUACAGGAGAUUCAUAGAAGGAAAAUUGGGGAUGGGAGCAGUCCCAAAGACAAUGAUAGAUCAGUGGACGAGUUUCUUUUGAUUUUACUACGUGCUCUUGACAAGCUGCCUGUGAAUCUCAAUGCUCUUCAGACUUGCAACAUUGGGAAGUCUGUUAAUCGAUUGCGAUCACAUAAGAACUCAGAAAUUGGGAAAAAGGCAAGGAGCUUGGUUGAUACAUGGAAGAAACGUGUUGAGGCAGAAAUGGAUGCCAAGCCUGGAAGACCUCGUCAGUCUGAAGUUUCCCAUGGCAGUAGACACUCAGUUGUAUCCUUUGAUGCAACCAAGACAUCAGUAUCUCCUCUGCAUCCUUUUAAGUCCGUGUCCGGUAUUUCAGAUAACAGCGUGAAGUCUGCAACCACCUCUCCAAGUUCUACUAGAUCAGCCCCAUCACCUGGAACAGGUGUUGCUGUUGCUAACGUUGGGCAGCAAAGAAAUACUGUUGCAGUCCACGCAGAAGUUGGGCUGAGCAGGAGCAUCUCAUCACAAAGAACUGUAACUUUUGAGAAAGCUGAAGGUUGUAGCAAUAAGUUGAUGGUUAAGCUGCCUAAAUGUGGUGAACGUGGUGAUGGGCACGAGAAGGCUGUUAAUGAGUCUAGUAAAAUAGAAGAUAUUGUCAAGCCCACGUCUCCUACCUCAGGAGAUGAUGUCAAAACUGGAAAAGGACAUGGUGAAUCACACAGCUUAAUGAAUGCUUUGAUUGAAAGUUGUGUCAGGGACUCUGAGGCGAAUGCAUGUGUGGCUGGUGCAGAUGAUGUUGGAAUGAAUCUUCUAGCUACUGUUGCUGCUGAUGAAAUGUCCAAAUCCCCUGUUGCAUCACCCUCGGUAUCUCGGGUUUCAGAUUCUUUGGAUGGCAUGCCUAGCGAGCAAGCUGAGAAUGUGAAUCCCACCAUUGUUGAACAUGUCAGUAGUAGUGGCGAGCAGUUGGCCGUUGUAGAGAAUGAAAAUGAUUCUAAGCCGGGAGAUCUUGAUGAUAACUCCGAUUCAGAAAUCGAAGAGUUGCAAAGAUUGGUGGAUCAGUGCCUAGAAAGCAAUGAAAAUUCAGAUGAUAUUGCCCCAACCGCUGGGCACACAUCAGGCAUUGGGGGAAACAUUUCUGAUGAUGGUGAUAGUGGGGUAGUUAGUGACCAAAAGACUGAAGAGAUAUCAGAGACAGAUGGAGUGGCAGAUACAGUGAUGAGGACAGGAAACUCUGCCUUACGUAUAUGUAAAACCAUUGGCAAAAGUCAAAAUGCAGAUUCUUUGACUGCUGAAGAUUCACACUUGGAGGCUGCUGGUGGUGCUCAGGUGGAAGAUAAACCAAAGGUGAUAUUAAGUUCUGAGCUAGUUAAUAAAAUGGGUGAAGUGGUUUCAGUUUUGUCAGAGUUUACCAAGGAUAGGAGUACUGAAAAUGUUGAUAGAUCGAUGCCAGAGAAAUUGUCUGAUGAUAAUGAUUGUGGUGGACCAGCUAACGAUCGAAAGGCUGCUUGUACAUCAGUGGAAACUUCUGCGCCAGCUGAAUGUAAAGCCAUCGUAUUAUGUCCCAAAGUAGAAUCCUUGGUUGUUGCAAAUUCACACUCUGAUAACAAGGAAGAGCAUAAACCCCCGGUAGUCUUGAGUUCUGAAUUGGAUAAAGAAACGGCUGAAGAUGUAACUGUUUCGUCCAAGCUCUCCAAGGGCAUAGCUGCAGAAAAGAUGGACGUGGGGAUUAAUCAUGUGAACCAGACAGAUAAAAAGAACAAGCCUGUGACAGCUCAUCUGGAUUCAUCUGUAACUAAGAUUGAAGUUGAGCAUGUGGAGGCGUCUCUAAAGAGUGCUGAAGUCGGAAAACAGUGCGCCACGACAACAUGUGCUGAUGGGCAUGAAACAGAGGAAUUUACCUCUGCUGCCAAAGAUCUUCCCUCAGUUUCAGCUUUAGCAGGGUCAGAGCUGGAAGCCGGAGUUAAAUUUGACCUAAAUGAAGCUUUCAGUGGGGAUGACACACGAAAGGAGAAUUCAAGUAACUUCUCUGGAUCGUUGUCUUUGACAUCUACUCCUUUACAAACCAGUCGACCUCCUGCAUCCAUUACAGUUGCUGCUGCUGCAAAGGGUGCUUUUGUUCCGCGUGAUGAUCUGUUGAGAAAUAAACCAGCUGUUGGGUGGAGAGGAUCUGCUGCCACUAGCGCCUUCCGACCAGCUGAGCCAAGAAAAGUCCAAGAGGUGGUGCCACUAAGCAUGAAUAAUGUGGCUUCCUGUGAUGCUUCUACAACCGCUGGCAAGCAAACAAAGACAUUCUUGGACUUCGACCUAAAUGUACCGGAUGAAAGAGUUCUUGAAGAUCUGCCUUCCCAAAGAUUUGCCAAUCCCACAAAUCCCUGUGGCGUACUGGAUCUUGAUCUAAACAGACUUGAUGAUCCAGCCG